ACGAACGCUGGCGGCGUGCUUAACACAUGCAAGUCGAACGCUGAAGACCUGGCUUUUGUUGGGUUGGAUGAGUGGCGAACGGGUGAGUAACACGUGAGUAACCUGCCCUCUUCUUUGGGAUAACGCCCGGAAACGGGUGCUAAUACUGGAUAUUCACUGGCCUUCGCAUGGGGGUUGGUGGAAAGGUUUGUUCUGGUGGGGGAUGGGCUCGCGGCCUAUCAGCUUGUUGGUGGGGUGAUGGCCUACCAAGGCUUUGACGGGUAGCCGGCCUGAGAGGGUGACCGGUAACAUUGGGACUGAGAUACGGCCCAGACUCCUACGGGAGGCAGCAGUGGGGAAUAUUGCACAAUGGGCGAAAGCCUGAUGCAGCGACGCCGCGUGAGGGAUGGAGGCCUUCGGGUUGUAAACCUCUUUCGCUCAUGGUCAAGCCGCAACUGUGGGUUGUGGUGAGGGUAGUGGGUAAAGAAGCGCCGGCUAACUACGUG
rnacentral:rRNA from 1 species